CCAGACUCCUACGGGAGGCAGCAGUGGGGGAUAUUGCACAAUGGGGGAAACCCUGAUGCAGCGACGCCGCGUGAGUGAAGAAGUAUUUCGGUAUGUAAAGCUCUAUCGGCAGGGAAGAAAAAAAUGACAGUACCUGACUAAGAAGCCCCGGCUAACUACGUGCCAGCAGCCGCGGUAAUACGUAGGGGGCAAGCGUUAUCCGGAUUUACUGGGUGUAAAGGGAGCGUAGGCGGCCAUGCAAGUCAGAAGUGAAAACCCGGGGCUCAACCCUGGGAGUGCUUUUGAAACUGUGCGGCUAGAGUGUCGGAGGGGUAAGUGGAAUUCCUAGUGUAGCGGUGAAAUGCGUAGAUAUUAGGAGGAACACCAGUGGCGAAGGCGGCUUACUGGACGAUGACUGACGCUGAGGCUCGAAAGCGUGGGGAGCAAACAGGAUUAGAUACCCCAGUACA
rnacentral:rRNA from 1 species